GCACUGCUGAGGAGUCCCAUGUCAGGACGAAACUGCCGUCCAGUGC
rfam:Schistosoma mattheei strain Denwood, Zambia genome assembly, scaffold: SMTD_scaffold0002066